rnacentral:rRNA from 1 species
GGCGAACGCUGGCGGCGUGCUUAACACAUGCAAGUCGAACGGAAAGGCCCUGCUUGCAUGGUACUCGAGUGGCGAACGGGUGAGUAACACGUGGGUGAUCCGCCCUGCACUUCGGGGUAAGCCUGGGCAACUGGGUCUAAUACCGGAUACGGGCCACUUUUUGUGUGAUGGUUGGAAAGAUUUUUCGGUGUAGGAUGAGCUCGCGGCCUAUCAGCUUGUUGGUGGGGUAAUGGCCUACCAAGGCGGCGACGGGUAGCCGGCCUGAGAGGGUGGACGGCCACAUUGGGACUGAGAUACGGCCCAGACUCCUACGGGAGGCAGCAGUGGGGAAUAUUGCACAAUGGGAGCAAGCCUGAUGCAGCGACGCCGCGUGGGGGAUGACGGCCUUCGGGUUGUAAACUCCUUUCGCUAGGGACGAAGCUUUUGUGACGGUACCUAGAGAAGAAGCACCGGCUAACUACGUG